GUUGACACUUUUGAACUGUGGUGUUAGAGAAGACUCUUGAGAGUCCCUUGGACUGCAAGGAGAUCCAACCAGUCAAUCCUAAAGGAAAUCAGUCCUGAAUAUUCGUUAGAAGGACUGAUGCUGAAGUUGAAACUCCAAUCCUUUGGCCACCUGAUGCGAAGAAUUGACUCAUUUGAAAAGACCCUGAUGCUGGGAAAGAUUGAGGGCAGGAGGAGAAGGGGAUGACAGAGGAUGAGAUGGUUGGAUGGCAUCACCAACUUGAUGGACCGAGUUUGAGCAAGCUUCAGGAGCUGGUGAUGGACAGGGAGGCCUGGCGUGCUGCAGUCCAUGGGGUCGCAAAGAGUCGGACCCAACUAAGUGACUGAAAUGAACUGAACUGCACCCUUUAUUUGGGAAGGGAGAGGCAAGGUGUGUUUUUAUUUUUUUAUUAGCUCUAUUAUUGGAGCAGCAGAGUGAGGUAAUAAACACAUCCAUCUUGGAGCCUUCCUGCCUGAGUCUGAUUAUGACUCCAUGCCUGUCUUAGUUUGCUAGGGCUGCCAUUAUCAAAAUACCCCGAACUGAGUGACUUAAACACCAGAAAUUUAUUCUCACAAUUCUGGAGGCUAGAAGUCCCAGAUCAAGAUGUGAGCAGGGUUGGUUGUCCGGUGGAACACAAUUCAAGUGCUUCUUGAAUCUGUCUCCCAGCCUUUAAUCCUCAGUAUGGCUUUUUAAAAAACCUCUUUUCUAUUCCUAGAAUAGGUUGGUUUAUUGAGUAUUUCCCUCUACAGUUCCAACUGACUAGCAGAAUACACAGGAGAAAGUCAAUAAACAUUUCUUGAUGGAAUGAAAGUAAGAAUUUGGCAAUACAGGAAGGAGAGGCCUAAAGAACGGAAGAGGAGAGGAUUGGAGGAGAGGGAAGAAAGAAGAGAAGACACGGCAAGUAGGUGCAAGUAUUCCCCAAGAAGAAUGUUCAUUUUGUCAAAGACAGCACUAUUUGCCACCCUUGUGGGAAUUUCAUAGUACUUAUUUAUACUGAAAUCAAGAAAAAGACUAUACUCCAGUGUAUGAAUGGAAUUGUGGGCAUCCUGGCAACUAGUGUUCCUUAUGAAGUUGUGGCUUUUUCUGACAGCAGCUCUGAUCCCUCAUCUACAUAUACAACUUCCUCUGAAAUGACCAGAAAGAUCAAAUUAAAAGAUAGAAGAUCAGACAAGCCUGAACAUUCCAUUAGGCCAAAACCUGAUCCAGAGCAAGUCCCUAACUGUCUUUAAUUCUUUGAAGGCUGAGUGAGGUGAGGAAGUUGCAGAAGAGAAGUUUGAAGCUACCAGUGAUUGGCUCAAGAGGUUCAAAGAAAGAUGCUAUCUCCAUAACAUAAAAGUACAAGGUGAAGCAAGAAAUGCUGAUGUAGAAGCGGCAGCAAGUUAUCCAUAAGAUCUAACUAGGUGACUACACUAAAAACAGAUUUUCAGUGUAAACAAAACAGCCUUGUAUUGGAAGAAGACGUCAUUUAGGACUUUCCUAGCUAGAUAGGAAAAGUCAAUGCCUGGCUUCAAAGCUUCAAAGGACAGAUUGACUCUCUUGUUAGAGGCUAAUGCAGUGCGUGACUUGAAGUUGAAGCCAGUGCUCAUUUAACCUUCUGAAAGUCUGGGGGUCUUUAUAAUUAAUAACAAAUCUCCUCCAUCUGUGCUCUAUACAUGGAAUGACGUAGCCUGGAUAACAACACAUCUGUUGACAGCAUAGUUUACUGAGUAUUUUAAGCUCACUAUUGAAACCUACUGCUCAGAAAAGAUUCCUUUCAAAAUACUACUCAUUGACAAUGCACCUGGUCACCCAAGAGCUCUGAUGGAGAUGUACAAUGGGAUUGAUGCUGUUUUCCUGUCCUAACACAACAUCCUUUCUGCAGCCCAUGAAUCAAAGAGGAAUUUCAACUUUAAAGUCUUAUAAUUUAGGACUUGAAUGUUGUGAGGCAAUAGCUGCCAUAGGUAGUGACUCCUUUACUAGAUCUGGGUAAAGUAGCUUGGAAAUCUCUGGAAAGUGUUCACUGCUCUAGAUGCCAUUAAGAACAUUCAUGACUCAUUGGAAGAGGUCAAAAUAUCAGUAUUAACAGGGGUUUGGAAGAAGUUGAUUCUAUCCUUGAUGGAUAACUUUGAGGGGUUCCAGAUUUAGUGGAAAAAGUUACAGUACAUGUAGUAGAAAUAGCAGGAAAACUAAAACUAGAAAUUUAGCCUGAAGAUGUGACUGAAUUGCUGCAAUCUCAUGAUAAAAAUUGAAUGGAUGCAGAGUUGUUUUUUUAUUGCUGAGCAUAGGAAGUGCUUUCUUGAGAAGGAAUCUACUCCUGGCAAAAAUGCUAUGACAAUUGUUGAAAUGGUAACAAAAGGUUUAGAACAUUAUAUAAACUUAGUUGAUAAAGCAGUGACAGGGUUUAAAAGGAUUGACUCCAGUUUUGAAAGAGGUUUUAUUGUUGCUAAAUGCUGUCAAACAGAAUUGCAUGCUACAGAGAAAUUAUUCAUGAAUGGGUGAGUAAAUCAAGCGAACUUCACUGUGGUCCUAUUUUAAUAAAGCCACAGCCACCCCAAUCUUUAGCAAUCACCAACCCCAAUCAACAGCCAUGAACAAGAAGGCAAGACCCUCCACCAGCAAAAAGCUUAUGAUUCUCUAAACGCUCAGCUGAUGGUUAUUAUUUUUAGA